rnacentral:sRNA from 1 species
CUAGAAUAUAUAUUUUUAAGAAUAACUUUUGGGCGGUCCUUAAUUCACCUCCCGCACGUUGAUUUCUAAUUCACCUCCUUUUCCCGCAUCUGUGUUCUAAGCCCUAAUUCCUUCCCUCCUUCCCCACUGCCUUCAUCAAAAUCUUCUCUUCUUGCGUGUUCGUGGAGCGUCUGUCGCCGCUGCCUUCAUCAAUCUUGGGCUGAGCGUCGAGGUCGAGGCGACAAGGACGAGGUGGCGAGGACUCUGCUGAGGCGAUUUUCAUCACUUCCGUCUCCCUGGACUUGCGCUUGAAAUCCCAGAGGAUCUGUACCAUUUGAUUAAGAAGAAAGUUUCUAUUAGGAAGCAUCUGGAGAGAAACCGAAAGGACAAGGACUCGAAGUUUAGGUUGAUUCUAGUGGAGAGCAGAAUCCACCGUGUUGGACUUCAAGAUCACACUCAUGGACAAGGAUCACCACCACACGUCUCUCAUCAACCUGUAAACGUGAGCUUUCCUACAUGGAUUUCUUCAAUUCUGCAUCACUGUGUACUUAAUGCGACUCACUUUUCCACAUUUUUUGACUACGCAUUCACGAAACAAUGAUUUCUUGUACAGAAGUGAAGAGAGGAAUAGAAAAGUGAAAAAGUAAAUGAUUGGAUAAAUAAGGAAAAGAUAUUAAGAUUAUUGUAAAAGUAAUUAUAGGGUUUGAAUGAACGUGAUAGGAACAGAGAUAUGGUGCAUGAUCUUAAGAUGAUAGAUAAAUUUGAUGAGUUAUUUAUGUUAAUUAUGGUCAAAAAGUAAUCAAACUGUGUGAUUAUUUAUCAUGUGUUUGUUUUAAAUAAUAUUUGUUUUGUUCUCAGCUGAGUUCCAUUGAAAGUCAAUUGCGGAGACUACAUGAAGAGAAUUGUAAGUUGAGAACCGUGCUGGACCAGAUUACCAGAAGCUAUACCCAACUACAAGCUCAGUUAUUCAUCAUUCUGCUGCUGAUCAAGGAAGUGUGCCAAACGAUGUAAUGAAGAAGAACUUUAGAAGUAUUUAAUUUUUAGUAUUGAACAUCUGUCUUUAAUUUUUUAUAACAAAACAGAGAAUUCAAAAUGGCAUAACAUUGAAUUUUGUUUGGAGUGUGCCAUUAUCUGAAAACAUACUUGUUCCAUUGAAGGUUUAUAGAUCCAUUAAGAAAAGGAGAUUAUCCAAAAUUUACAAAGAAGCAUUCUAGAUUGUUUAUUAAUUCA